GAUGAACGCUGGCGGCGUGCCUAAUACAUGCGAGUCGAGCGAACAGACGAGGAGCUUGCUCCUCUGACGUUAGCGGCGGACGGGUGAGUAACACGUGGAUAACCUACCUAUAAGACUGGGAUAACUUCGGGAAACCGGAGCUAAUACCGGAUAAUAUAUUGAACCGCAUGGUUCAAUAGUGAAAGACGGUUUUGCUGUCACUUAUAGAUGGAUCCGCGCCGCAUUAGCUAGUUGGUAAGGUAACGGCUUACCAAGGCAACGAUGCGUAGCCGACCUGAGAGGGGGAUCGCCCCCCCUGAACUGGGAACCCGUCCCGGCCCCCUACGGAGGGCAGCGUUAGGAAAUCUUCCGCAAUGGGCGAAACCCUGACGGGGCAACGCCGCGGAGGUGACAAAGUCUUCGGAUCGUAAAACUCUGUUAUUAGGGAAGAACAAAUGUGUAAGUAACUAUGCACGUCUUGACGGUACCUAAUCAGAAAGCCACGGCUAACUACGUG
rnacentral:rRNA from 1 species